UAUCUGGUUGAUCCUGCCAGUAGUCAUAUGCUUGUCUCAAAGAUUAAGCCAUGCAUGUCAAAGUAUAAGCACUUGUACUGUGAAACUGCGAAUGGCUCAUUAAAUCAGUUAUCGUUUAUUUGAUUGUACCUUUACUACUUGGAUAACCGUGGUAAUUCUAGAGCUAAUACAUGCGAAAAGUCCCGACUUCUGGAAGGGAUGUAUUUAUUAGAUUCAAAACCAAUGCGGGUUCUGCCCGGUCAUUUGGUGAUUCAUAGUAACUGUUUGAAUCGCAGGGCCUGGCGCCGGCGAUGUUUCAUUCAAAUUUCUGCCCUAUCAACUGUCGAUGGUAAGGUGUUGGCUUACCAUGGUACAACG
rnacentral:ncRNA from 1 species